UGCAAGUGAUGUUUUUUCUCACGAUGGUCUUCCAAGCCUGCAGGGUUCUGACGACAAUGCCUUAUGGCAAAACUGAUGCAGUCUC
rnacentral:snoRNA from 1 species